rnacentral:misc_RNA from 1 species
GAUGAAGAACGUAGCGAAAUGCGAUAAGUAAUGUGAAUUGCAGAAUUCAGUGAAUCAUCGAAUCUUUGAACGCACAUUGCGCCCGCCAGUAUUCUGGCGGGCAUGCCUGUUCGAGCGUCAUUACAACCCUCAGGCCCCCGGGCCUGGCGUUGGGGAUCGGCGGAGCCCCCCGUGGGCACACGCCGUCCCCCAAAUGCAGUGGCGGUCCCGCCGCAGCUUCCAUCGCGUAGUAGCCAACACCUCGCGACUGGAGAGCGGCGCGGCCACGCCGUAAAACACCCAACUCUUCUGAAGUUGACCUCGAAUCAGGUAGGAAUACCCGCUGAACUUAAGCAUAUCAAUAAGCGGAGGA